UGACGAACAUUUAAAGGUAGUCUUAGAGAGAUGACUAAAUUAAUUUAGAUUCUAAUCUAACUUAUUAAAAUUAGAGCACACGUUUGAGAAUGUAACAAAACCAGAUACAAUACUAAGGAAAUAUGCAUCGAAGUCACAAUUUUCUAGUUGAAAUACUGACGGUCUAUAAGUUUUGACUGUUCCUUUGAAUUAGGUCUAGAUACAGUAAAGAACAUUGACAGGUAGUCUUAUUAUGGAAUCUAUCCACGAAAAAGGAGAUUUGAGGCAUACAUCAGACUGUCAGCAUUAUCAAUCAUGAAAAUAGAAACUAAUACAAAGCUAACUGGGUAAGAGAGAGGGAGGGAGGGCGACUAAGAGAGAGGAAUAUCACUCUGCAUGAUGAGUAUUACUAUACAAGGAACAACCGCUUGUCAAUGAAAUUCAAAAGUUGCUUUAAACAAAUAAGGUUAGUGGUCAAUUUUCAUGAUCCCUAUUACUGGGUCCAUUAGCGCAAAUUAGAAUUGAUUCAUCAAUAGACGAUAUACUUCACUACUACAAAAGCGCCUAUUAAUAACGGUUAAUACAAAUUGCCGUUUUUAAUAAAGCCUAAUGGAAACACACGAUCAUUUUCCUUCUAUUAGAAACGGUUAGCUGAAAAAUAAAGGAAAAAUAGGCCCAUUGGUAAAUGAAAAUUUUGGGGGGAAGUUAAAUUUCAUUGUGGCGCCUGGUUAAAAAGGGGUAGGGAAAAUUUUGGGGGAAGCUAAAUUUCAUUUUGGGAUCAUGGUGAAAGGAUCAGAAAACUUUUCCAACGAUCCAUUCCUUUCUCUAUCUUAACUUUAUAGCAGAUCUCUUCCUCGUCCAGCGAAACGAUAAUCAACCAGGCAUCAGUGACUUCUAAAUGCUUGAUUGGAGUUCCAGAAUGCACCCUAGCCUCCACCGGCACCAUAAAUACCCUCGAUUGCUUCAGGAAAACCUUCAUCGUCCUCCUCAAUUCGUUCUCUUUACCAAAUUGGAAACGCCAUCGACACGGCCGAGCGAGUCGAUAGAGAAGCCGAGCGCGGGGGUUGCCCUUUGGUUGAUGUUCUCUCCGUGGACACCUUUGCUCCUGCAUGACAUGAUAUGGAUGAAGGUUGCAAGGUGAUAGAUGGUGAAGGGGAGAUUAGUUUGGUGCGAUGCAGUGGGAAGAACCCAGAGAUACGACGAAGGAAAGGCUUGCAACAUUGAUAAGACAUGGGCUCACUGUGGUCUUUAUUGUUUAAGUCUACUUAAUCAUUGUUUAUUUCUUUUUUGUUGUAAGUCUUUUGGGUAGGUUUUGAUUUAUUAGAUUUGCAUUUCAAAUUUAGAGUUCUAGAGUGUGAAGGAGUCAGGAACCAUGUAAAUAUAUGGUCUAAAGAAGUACAUGCUUUGUAAUUAGCAUAUUGUUGGAUUUGUUAAUAAAACAUGUAUCAAACACUUGUUAUUUGUUUAAUCGAAUCGCAUUUAAUUUUA